UAUUAUUAACGAUAGCUACGUACGUGUAUUAUUAAUGGCCAGUAAGCCCUUAAACUAUUAGAUGUGCUUCAGCUUAUGUUGUCUUGAGUAUCUGGCAGCCCAGAAAUAAAACUCGUUGUGGACGGUGUGCAAAAAUAUAAAGCCAGGCAGGAACCGUUGUAUUGUAAUACUUGUUUUGUAUGAUCCGGCUGGAAAGGGUUGAACACAUUUCACAUGAGUAUAAUUGCAUAACGCUAGACUACGAACAGGAUCCUUGUGAUGGAGGCUAGUUAUGUCUGGGACAAGUAUUUGGAACUAAGUUUUGUUUGUUUUAACUCAGAGCUUAGCUCUGGACUUCUUUGGUCUCAGUGGGGUUAGUAAACCAAGUGCUUCCUGUAUCACUGAUCAUCUUGACCCUGAUGUGUUUCUGACCUGUCUGGAUACAACCACAACACACUGAUACAAGUGAAUGGAGGAAUUUAUUCAAUGUUGAAUUAGUCUUCGUCCUUGAAACAGGUUCACCCCCGGGUCAAGUCUGUUCCAGGGAUGGAGCUCUCCUUCUACGCAA